GUAGGACGUGUCGGCUGC
rnacentral:snRNA from 1 species